rfam:Lactobacillus buchneri CD034, complete genome.
UAAAUCAUUAGAGGUUGCAACCAACAUCAGUAAUUAGUGGAGUUCCUACCUGAACUUUGAAGUUAAUGAAAGGGGCGGUUGCCGAAGCACCAUGUGAGGUAGCACUUGGCGCGCUGGGACUUAGCUUAAGAGGCUAUGGACUGUCGCGGCGGAUAAGUCGGCUGCGGGGCGCUAACGACAAA